UGGGAUGUCGCCAAGCGGUAAGGCACCAGACUUUGACUCUGGCAUUCGUAGGUUCAAAUCCUGCCUUCCCAGCCA
rnacentral:tRNA from 1 species